UACGAAGGGGGCUAGCGUUGUUCGGAAUCACUGGGCGUAAAGGGCGCGUAGGCGGCUGUUCAAGUCGGGGGUGAAAUCCCGUGGCUCAACCACGGAAUGGCCUUCGAUACUGGACGGCUCGAGACCGGAAGAGGUGAGUGGAACUGCGAGUGUAAGAGGUGAAAUUCGUAGAUAUUCGCAAAAACACCAGUGGCGAAAGGCGGCUCACUGGUCCGGUUCUGACGCUGAGGCGCGAAAGCGUGGGGAGCAAACAGGG
rnacentral:rRNA from 1 species